GAAAAAUCUCACGCACAGCAGGCAGAGGCAGAGAAGUCUCAGACAGCAAACAGAAUCAAACGCUAAAGACAGACUUUUGCCGGGCGGUGGUGGCACACACACUCAGGAGGCAGAGGCAGGCAGAUCUCUGAGUUCAAGGCCAGCCUGGGCUACAGAGCGAGUUCCAGGAUAGCCAGGACUAACUUGUCUUGGAAAACACACAACAAACAAACAAGUUAGGAAGAAAGACUUUGACUACCCAGCAAGACACACAGAAGACCCUCUGCAAAGCAGGGUUGAAAGCCAAAACUUGGUCUGUCCUUGAGUGGGUGGAGUGAGAAACUGAGGUGUUCGGUAUUAACUCCUCCAUGGGUGCCAAGAACGUUCUAGCCUCCAUCCUGCAUAUUGUUCCGAAGUCUGUGCUCCUUUCUCUGUUCAUCUUUUCUGAUUGAGCUUCAAAGACACCAUUUCCCACUCACCUAUCCAGCUACCCAUCCCCAUAAUUUAAGAAAGACAGUUCAAAAGAUACUUCAUCAAUUAUAGCUGAGUAAAAGGAGGAGAUGGGGAGAAGGGACCCACUCUGUUCGUGAGACGGCACCUAGUCUACUCACCUUCCAAAGGGGGGGUCACCAGAAAUGGAGGCCGGGAGUCUUCUAGAGCUUUAGUGUACAAAGGAAACGAGAAUAGGCCAGGGGCCGGGGUGACAAGUCCCUCAGUUGGGUGCAGACCUUUAA